CCUUGUGAAAGCCCAGAAGGCUCAACAACAGAAGGACUGGAGUUUGCUGAAAGAAGGAAAGAAAAAGAAGGAACAAAGACAUGCACUAGGUAGUACUGAAGUCCUGUGCUUAUUCCCAGAAGACAA